GCAGUCGUGGCCGAGUGGGUCAGGCGAUGGCCUAGAAAUUCACUGGGGUCUCCCCGCGCAGCUUCGAAUCCUGUCGACUGCG
rfam:Ixodes scapularis strain Wikel colony gcontig_1108378578686, whole genome shotgun sequence.